rnacentral:rRNA from 1 species
GUAACGACAUCCCUACUGUCUCGGCCAGUGACUCAGCGAAAUUGUAUUGAGCGUGAAGAUACGCUCUACCCGCGACAAGACGGAAAGACCCCGUGAACCUUUACUGCAGCUUGGCAGUGAAGUUCGGGACAGUCUGCGUAGGAUAGGUGGGAGACUUCGAAGCCGGGAUUCUGGUUUCGGUGGAGUCAACCUUGAAAUACCACCCUGGCUGUUCUGGACUUCUAACCCAACACCGUGAUCCGGUGUGGGAACAUUGCCUGGUGGGCAGUUUGACUGGGGCGGUCACCUCCUAAAAAGUAACGGAGGUGCGCGAUGGUUCCCUCAGGCUGAUUGGAAACCAGCCGUAGAGUGCAAAGGCAUAAGGGAGCUUAACUGUGAGACCGACAGGUCGAACAGAUGCGAAAGCAGGCCUUAGUGAUCCGGUAGCUCCGCAUGGAAGGGCUAUCGCUCAACGGAUAAAAGGUACUCCGGGGAUAACAGGCUGAUCGCGCCUGAGAGUUCAUAUCGGCGGCGCGGUUUGGCACCUCGAUGUCGGCUCAUCGCAUCCUGGGGCUGGAGCAGGUCCCAAGGGUUUGGCUGUUCGCCAAUUAAAGCGGUACGCGAGCUGGGUUCAGAACGUCGUGAGACAGUUCGGUCCCUAUCUGUCGUGGGCGCAGGAUACUUGAGGGGAGUUGACCAUAGUACGAGAGGACCUGGUUGAACGUAUCCCUAGUGUUCCGGUUGUUUCGCCAGAAGCAUAGCCGGGUAGCUAUAUACGGAAUCGAUAACCGCUGAAAGCAUCUAAGCGGGAAGCGAGCCCUAAGAUGAGGUAUCCCUGGACUUCGGUCCCUAAAGGCCACUUGUAGACUACGAGUUUGAUAGGCUGGGUGUGGAAGUGCGGCAACGCAUGUAGCUGACCAGUACUAAUCGGCCGUGAGGCUUGACCUA